UACUGCCGUUAGCAAAUGCAUAAAAGUAUACCUACAGCUUGCCAAACUAGCUUUCCUUAAGAGAUGAGGGGAAUGGUAAAGCACUGGACUGGUAAAUCAUGAGUGUGGUACUUCCCUUCUACUGCAUUUGAGGACUUGUGUGGAUGUGCUGAUUGAUCAGGGUGUGUAAGCACAAUGUGGAAAGAAUUCAUCCUCAUUAAAUAAAAUAUCUCUACCCACAGGCACCUUAUGAAUGACCCAAAGAGGAAGCAGCUCAGAUGGAAAAAGAGAAUAAAUGUGUAGACUGAGUGAUGUACCCCUAGGAGCAUCAUUGGUCCUGGAAUCAGCUGACUGACCACAGCCUCAAGUUGUCAGUUGAAGGUUUUCAAUCUACUCUUUCUCCAAAAUCCGGUCAAAAC
rnacentral:lncRNA from 1 species